GUUUUAAUAGUUAAAAAAAAACAUCGGUCUUGUAAACCGAAAAUAAGGCAUGCCCCCCUUUUUAAAACU
rnacentral:tRNA from 1 species